rnacentral:lncRNA from 1 species
CUCAGCAAGGAUUGUCGAUCCGGAACAAUCAUAGUGAGCUUUCACAAUCUAUCAAUGACACGUAGCAGUAUGUAGUGGCAACCCAAUAGAACUGAAAUAAACCUUUAGGUAUAGUUAACGUGUGAUUUAGUCCCUCUAUCGUGAGUCCCGACUAGAUGACAGGUCAUGAAUAAAUUGUCAAAUCUUAACAUUAGUCAUAUGAUAGAUUGAUUAGCUCAAGUCCAGUUGUGACUUCUAUGAAAACUCUUUUCCAUCAAUCACACUGAUUUGGCCAC